GACGAACGCUGGCGGCGUGCCUAACACAUGCAAGUCGAGCGGAGUAUAAUGGAAAGCUUGCUUUUCAUUAUAUUUAGCGGCGGACGGGUGAGUAACACGUGAGUAACCUGCCUUUAACUGGGGGAUAACACAGGGAAACUUGUGCUAAUACCGCAUAACAUCCUUAGAUGGCAUCAUCUGAGGAUCAAAGGAGUAAUCCGGUUAAAGAUGGACUCGCGUCCGAUUAGCUAGUUGGUGGGGUAAAGGCCUACCAAGGCGACGAUCGGUAGCCGGACUGAGAGGUUGAUCGGCCACAUUGGGACUGAGACACGGCCCAGACUCCUACGGGAGGCAGCAGUGGGGAAUAUUGCGCAAUGGGGGUAACCCUGACGCAGCAACGCCGCGUGAAGGAUGAAGGCCCUUGGGUUGUAAACUUCUUUGGUCGGGGACGAAUAAUGACG
rnacentral:rRNA from 1 species